CACCCAGAGCAAGACCUCCACCUCCUCACCCAGAGCCAGACCUCCACCUCCAGUCAGAAGUCCUCCAGAACAGGUCAGUGCUCUGUGUGAGUGGUCUUCUCAGCUCAAAGGCGAGGCUGAGAGGCUGGGGACCGGAGGCUUGUGGUGCCAGGGUGGACCGGAGACUGAGGCUGGAGACCAGGGGCCUGCAGCACCGGACCAGAGGACCAGGAAUCCAUGGCUGAAGGAGCUGAUGGAGGAGCCGUGCUGAAGGCCCUGGGCUGGUGGAGGAGCUGGUGGAGGGCCUGCUUGGUGGAGGAGCUGGUGGAGGGCCUGCCUGGUGAAUGACGUCUGUCGUUGGGUAGAUGGAGCUUGACUCUGAAGUGAUCAUCACACUCACUGCCACUUCUCGUAGAAUACUGCUACCACAAACUACCGGCGAUUGUACCAUAUAUACCAGACGACGACAUCUGUUUUACCACAUGUUGAAGCAAGACUUCCGCUGUUUGUUCCAGACCAGGACUCUCUCUGAGGAGAGCUGCUGGAGGAGCUGAGACGCUGGAGGAAGACUAGGAAUCAACCAACAAGUAUUCCUCAACGUGUUUCUGGAGCGGAGGCGAGCUGGUAGGGGAGCCGUGAAUCUGGAGGAUGACCAUCACUCUACCAACAAGGAUUGGUGAGACUCGCGCUUUGUUCCAGACCAGGACUCUGGCUGAGGAGAGCUGAUGAAGGAACCAAGACUCUGUAGGACGACAUCACUCCACCAAACAGGAUCCUCGUAAGUUUGCCUAAAAUAAACAGUGGACUUGUUGUAACGCAGGAUUAGUUUGUCCAGUACAAGUUACGGCAUACUAUUGUGGUUGUUUACCAGACAAACUAUAGCUGCUACUUUGUUACGCGCCAUUAGAGCCCAACUACUCCUGUGUUUGACCUUACAUUUGAGACAAACUACUACUGUGCUUGUCACCUGAUAUUAGAGCAAACUACUCCUGUGUUUGUUACCUUGCAUUGGAGCCCAACUACUCCUGUGUUUGUUACCUUACAUUAGAGCCCAACUACUACUGUGUUUGUUACCUGAUAUUAGAGCCCAACUACUCCUGUGUUUGUUCCCUUACAUUAGAGACAAACUACUACUGUGUUUGUUACCUUACAUUAGAGACAAAUUAAGUUUGUAACCAGACCAGGAAUCUGGAGGACUGAUGGAGAAGCCAUACAUCUGGAAGGCAAAUCCUGAGGACCACCAGGACUCUACCAUCAAGAAUUCCUCAUAAAUGUGCAUUAUCUGGACAUAGUGGACUAGACACACCUGAGCUGAACCUCUCCUGAUCCUGUUUGGUCGGGGGUAGACACACCUGAGCUAAACCCGCCCUGAUCCUGACAUCCUGCUGGUCCCGUCUCCUCAGUUCAUCUGAGCCUCGUCCUCCAGAAGACCUGCUGAGCUCAGCAGUCUGAGGCUGAUGGAUCAAUGACCUCCAGUAGGAGUGAUCUUCUUGACCCCACAUGUAACCGUGUGCUUCCACACGCCUUUCCCUCACGUCUGUCACUAACCUCACUACUUCACUAAUCUCUACUGCUUCCUCUUUUCUUCCUUGUCUGUGGUUCAAACCUUUACACUGAAGGUGUGUCUUCCUGCCCUCAGAGGGUUUAGCGUUAGGGUUGAGAGUCAGGGUUUAGAGUCAGGGACAGAGCUGGUCAGGGAGGACUGCUUUUACACAAACCUCUUCACUUGCUUUUGGAAUGGUGGUGACAUUUUGAAAAGAUUCAUUUGGGAAAAUGUUUUCCUCUGCUUUCCUUUACAAAAUUGUAUUCAACUUCUGUCAAGUGUUUUUGUUUAUAUAUUAAAAUCCCACAUUGACUUCUACA